rnacentral:rRNA from 1 species
AUUGAACGCUGGCGGCAGGCCUAACACAUGCAAGUCGAGCGGAUGAAGGGAGCUUGCUCUUGGAUUCAGCGGCGGACGGGUGAGUAAUGCCUAGGAAUCUGCCUGGUAGUGGGGGAUAACGUCCGGAAACGGGCGCUAAUACCGCAUACGUCCUGAGGGAGAAAGUGGGGGAUCUUCGGACCUCACGCUAUCAGAUGAGCCUAGGACGGAUUAGCUAGUUGGUGGGGUAAAGGCCUACCAAGGCGACGAUCCGUAACUGGUCUGAGAGGAUGAUCAGUCACACUGGAACUGAGACACGGUCCAGACUCCUACGGGAGGCAGCAGUGGGGAAUAUUGGACAAUGGGCGAAAGCCUGAUCCAGCCAUGCCGCGUGUGUGAAGAAGGUCUUCGGAUUGUAAAGCACUUUAGGUUGGGAGGAAGGGCAGUAAGUUAAUACCUUGCUGUUUUGACGUUACCGACAGAAUAAGCACCGGCUAACUUCGUG